GCUUGCCGUCCACUCCCGGCUUCCGGGUUCUGGCGGCAGAAUGUGGCGGCUGCUGCUCGUCCUCCUCUCCGUGUGUGGAGCUGUCACCUCUGCAGACCCCAUUCAUGUCUUUGUCAUCCCCCACAGCCACAUGGACGUCGGCUGGGUGUAUACAGUGCAGGAGAGCAUGCAUGCCUACGCUGCCAACGUCUACACGACAGUAGUGGAAGAGCUGAUAAAGGCCAAGCAUCGGAGGUUUAUUGUGGUCGAGCAGGAAUUUUUUCGCUUGUGGUGGGAUACGGUGGCCGGAGAAUUUCAGAAGCAACAGGUGCAUCAGCUGGUACGGGAGGGACAAUUGGAGUUCAUUAUUGGGGGGCAAGUGAUGCAUGAUGAAGCCGUGACCACAGUGGACGAUCAGAUCAUACAGCUAACAGAGGGCCAUGGAUUUUUGUAUGAAACAUUUGGAGUAAGGCCCCAGUUUUCUUGGCACGUGGACCCCUUUGGAGCUUCUGCCACCUCACCUACCAUUUUCUCCAUGUCUGGAUUCAAUGCCCACCUUAUUUCCCGCAUUGAUUAUGACAGUAAGGCUGCCAUGCAGGAUUCCAAGAAGCUGCAGUUUGUUUGGCGAGGCUCUCGCUCCUUAUCUGAGAAGCAGGAGAUCUUUACGCAUGUCAUGGACCAGUUCAGUUACUGCACCCCUUCUUACCUGCCGUUUACCGACAGAUCCGGAUUUUAUUGGAAUGGAGUCGCUCUGUUUCCUGAUCCACCAAAGGAUGGUAUUUAUCCUAACAUGAGUCUCCCAGUUACAAGUGACAGCAUUCACCAGUAUGCAGAAACCAUGGUGAAGAACAUAAAGAUGCGAGCCGCCUGGUUUAGAAGCAAUGAUGUUUUGUGGCCCUGGGGGUGCGACAAGCAGUUCUUCAAUUCUUCUGUCCAGUUUAAUAACAUGGAUUUAUUACUGGAAUAUAUCAACAGUAAAGCAGAGUUUGGAGUGACUGUACAGUAUGCAACGCUUGGAGAAUAUUUUACAAAUUUAUACAACAGGAACAUAACCUGGGAGAUUCGAGGUAGUCAGGAUUUCCUCCCUUACUCUUCAGAUGUAUUUCAAGCCUGGACAGGAUUCUUUGCAUCCCGAAAUGUCCUUAAAGGGGUAGCGCGCAGAGCCAGCUCACUGCUGUAUGCGGGGGAGUCUGCAUUCACUCGGUAUCUGAUGAAGUAUCCAUCUGGUGCAGUCUGCAAGAUGUGGGCACUGGAACAACUGCGGGCUCUCAGAUGGGCUGUCUCAGAGGUCCAACAUCAUGAUGGCAUUACAGGCACAGAGUCUCCAAAGGUCAGAGAUAUGUACAUAGCGCACUUACAUGAAGGAAUGACUGGUGUACGAAAACUGAUGGAAGCCAUCGUUAUGGACCAGUUCAGCUAUGAGAAAACUGAACAUUCUGAAGGCCUCAUACAUAUUACUGUCUAUAACCCAUUGGCAUGGAACAUGACCACAUUUAUUAGCGUGGCGCUGAAUACCUCUGUCACAGCUGUGUACGAUGAGCUCGGUCAGCUUGUGCCAGCACAGAUCCACAACUCCAGUGAUCCCAGUCAUGCUUUUGAUCUGUAUGUGCUUGUUGUGCUGCCGGGUCUGGGCUAUAGGAGGUAUUUUAUAAAGUCAGAGAAUGCUGAGCCGCGUAAGGAGACAGUUCACAUGGGGAGACAGUCAUCACCUAGCAGAAAAAACAGCAGAAGCAGGAUGAUGCCUUUGUCCAACGACUGCUACACUCUAUGGAUAGACCUGAGCACUAACAUGCUUGUCAGCAUAACAGAUAGGGAGAGGAAUUACACAGUCCAGACUGCCCAGGAAUUUUUGGAAUACCAUGCAAAUGGGGAUACUGGUGCUGGGCCAAUAUCCGACAACUACAUGUUUUUUACAAAUGGAUAUGCUGCUUCAGUAGCCAAGUCUGUAGGGCUGGAGAUUGUGACUGGGACACUAGUGACUGAAAUCCGACAGUACUUUUACAGGGAUAUCAGCCAGCAGAGUUACAUGUAUGCCAUAUUCUCCAGACUUUACCAUGUCCCCGAUGGCUACGACAAGAUGCUGGCUUGUCGAGCCAUCGAGCAGCAGUACCGAGUUGGCCCUCUGGAGCUCAAUCGUGAAGCCAUCAUCAGAAUACAAACCAAUCUUCAGACCAGUAAGAGGAUUUACACAGAUGACAAUGCGUACCAGAUGCAAGCAAGAGAAUUCAAGAUCUACAAUAGUAACACAGUGGCAAGGAACUUUUACCCAAUGGUCCGUACAGCAUAUAUUGAAGAUGAGAAGACGAGACUUGUCCUGCUAUCUGAAAGAUCACAUGGAGUCUCCAGUCAAGAUAAUGGCCAAGUGGAGAUUAUGUUGCAUAGAAGAUUGUGGAACAACAUGGAAUGGGACCUGAACUACAAUCUUACACUGGAUGAUACCUCAGUAGUCAGGCCCACCAUCUGGCUCAUGGUAGGAUCCAAAGAAGUUACAGACUCUUUGUACCAGAGAUUGGGGCUGUGUUUGGAGCAUAAACCAUUGGUGAUGAUAAGUCCACAUACAGGGCAGUGGAAAAGCUGAGAAUCGAAUGGUGGAUGAUGUUCCAGUCACUUUGCCAGCCAAUAUUCACCUUCAGAUCCUAAGUAUUCCUGGAUGGAAAUAUUCUUCAGACCACACAGAGCAUAUACAUAAUGUGCAUAAAGGUAAAACACGAGAUGAUGCAGAUUUUAGCCGGAUAUUGUUAAGAUUGCAGCACCUGUAUGAAGCCGAUGAAGAUCCCAUACUCUCCAGGCCAGCUUCCAUAAAUAUCAAGCUUCUUCUUAAAGGACUGGGGUCUGUGAGAUUGGUGGAAGAACGCUCUCUUACUGGAACCUGGGACCUGACCACCAUGGAGAGAUGGAAGUGGAAGUCCACGCCGAGGAAAGACAGUGUUCUUCAGCGUCUUCACGUUCCGUGCCGUCAGUGAAUGAGGACACUAGUCCGGGCCCGCCACUGAGAAGUGGAUUCCAUUGUAUUCAGUGUAGUCUGCAGCUGCACAAAUCUCACUGAUGAUGAGAGGAUGCCUAUGAAAAGCAUGGAGGACUUUACAGUUGUUGUUUCACCGAAGGAAAUAAGAACUUUUUUUGUAUAUUUUCAAUAAGCACUAGCUCCUGUAGCAAGCAGAAAAUAGUUAUUAUAUGAUUGCUUUUGUACCAACCUGUUCUGCAGCCCCGAGGAUGUAAAUGGGUAUCUGGUGGUCUUCACUGGUAGCAUUGACCAUUGAUGACCUGGUGGCAAUGAAGCUUUUCUGUGGCCUUGAUUAUUUAUUAUUUCUCCUACUUUUAAGGGCUCAUGCACACGACUGCUGGCUGUUUUGCAGUCCUGAAAUUGCAGAUCCACAAAUCAUGGAUACCGGCCGCAUGCAUUCCGCAUUUUGUGGAAUGGAACGUCUGGCCUAUAAUAGAACUGUCCUAUGCUUGUCCGUAAUAUGGCGAAUAAUAGGACAUGUUCCAUUUUCUUUUGUGGAACAGCCAUCCAGACAUACGUAAACGCAAUGCACACAGAGUAAAUUCAGGUCUUUUUUAUGCGGAGCCAUUGAAGUGAAUGGAUCAACAUAUGGGCCGCAAAUCAAACAGCACGGAAAAAAAAUAUGUUCAGGUGCAUGAGCCCAAUGAGAUGUAUUAUGUUGUAAAAAAUGCUAUAAAUUGUAUAUUAUGUCUAUCAGGUGUUGAAACAAAUGUUUUUACAAUUACAUUUUUCUUCUAGAAUGUCUUUUUUACAUUAUAAUGAUUAGAUAGAAUGUCUCUAAUGAAGCUAAACAUAUUGUGGGGUUCAUUUAUAAAAACUGAAUUUUUAAAUAA